AGAGUUUGAUCAUGGCUCAGGACGAACGCUGGCGGCGUGCUUAACACAUGCAAGUCGAACGGAAAGGCCCUUCGGGGUACUCGAGUGGCGAACGGGUGAGUAACACGUGGGUGAUCUGCCCUGCACUUUGGGAUAAGCCUGGGAAACUGGGUCUAAUACCGAAUAGGACCACGCGCUUCAUGGUGUGUGGUGGAAAGCUUUUGCGGUGUGGGAUGGGCCCGCGGCCUAUCAGCUUGUUGGUGGGGUAAUGGCCUACCAAGGCGACGACGGGUAGCCGGCCUGAGAGGGUGACCGGCCACACUGGGACUGAAAUACGGCCCAGACUCCUACGGGAGGCAGCAGUGGGGAAUAUUGCACAAUGGGCGCAAGCCUGAUGCAGCGACGCCGCGUGAGGGAUGACGGCCUUCGGGUUGUAAACCUCUUUCAAUAGGGACGAAGCGCAAGUGACGGUACCUAUAGAAGAAGCACCGGCCAACUACGUGCCAGCAGCCGCGGUAAUACGUAGGGUGCGAGCGUUGUCCGGAAUUACUGGGCGUAAAGAGCUCGUAGGUGGUUUGUCGCGUUGUUCGUGAAAACUCACAGCUUAACUGUGGGCGUGCGGGCGAUACGGGCAGACUAGAGUACUGCAGGGGAGACUGGAAUUCCUGGUGUAGCGGUGGAAUGCGCAGAUAUCAGGAGGAACACCGGUGGCGAAGGCGGGUCUCUGGGCAGUAACUGACGCUGAGGAGCGAAAGCGUGGGGAGCGAACAGGAUUAGAUACCCCGGUAGUCCAA
rnacentral:rRNA from 1 species